AUAUGGGUUAGAGUCCCAUGAUAAGUAUGGGUUAGAGUCCCAUGAUAAGUUUGGGUUAGAGUCCCAUGAUAAGUUUGGGUUAGAGUCCCAUGAUAAGUAUGGGUUAGAGUCCCAUGAUAAGUAUGGGUUAGAGUCCCAUGUUAAGUUUGGGUUAGAGUCCCAUGUUAAGUUUGGGUUAGAGUCCCAUGAUAAGUUUGGGUUAGAGUCCCAUGUUAAGUUUGGGUUAGAGUCCCAUGUUAAGUUUGGGUUAGAGUCCCAGGUUUGGGUUAGAGUCCCAUAUUAAGUUUGGGUUAGAGUCCCAUAUUAAGUUUGGGUUAGAGUCCCAUAUUAAGUUUGGGUUAGAGUCCCAUGUUAAGUUGUAUAAGAGAAACAUUUAUAUUUUCUGGGUUAGAGUCCCAUCUUGUCGGUAAGUUGUAUAUAGUAGGUAUAGCAGUCCCACUGAGUGACCACAUUUAGUCACUGUAUUGAAU
rnacentral:lncRNA from 1 species